CGAGGUUUUGCUGCUGGGAAAUGAUUUUUGAAUGGCAAAAAAACCCGAAGCCACCCAAAAACCCCCGCCCGGAACCUCCUGUCAGGCUCCUCCUUCCUUGCUCAGAAAGCACCUGAUAGCCUGGAAUGUUCUGGCUGGAAGCUCUCCCGAAAUUCAGCAGCGGGAUCAACGUUUAUCAAUUUCCAGAGGUUUUUGGGACAUCCUGGAUUUUACAAGUGGAAUAAAAGCUCAAAAUCUCCACAAGGGAA